rnacentral:rRNA from 1 species
UACGUAGGGUGCAAGCGUUAAUCGGAAUUACUGGGCGUAAAGCGUGCGCAGGCGGUUGUGCAAGACAGAUGUGAAAUCCCCGGGCUCAACCUGGGAACUGCAUUUGUGACUGCACGGCUAGAGUGUGUCAGAGGGGGGUAGAAUUCCACGUGUAGCAGUGAAAUGCGUAGAUAUGUGGAGGAACACCGGUGGCGAAGGCGGGUCUCUGGGCAAUUCCUGACGCUGAGGCGCGAAAGCGUGGGGAGCAAACGGG